UACAGAGGGUGCGAGCGUUGUUCGGAAUUACUGGGCGUAAAGCGCACGUAGGCGGUCCUUUAAGUCGGGGAUGAAAUCCUGGAGCUCAACUCCAGAACUGCCUCGAUACUGGAAGACUCGAGUCCGGGAGAGGUGAGUGGAACUGCGAGUGUAGAGGUGAAAUUCGUAGAUAUUCGCAAGAACACCAGUGGCGAAGGCGGCUCACUGGCCCGGUACUGACGCUGAGGUGCGAAAGCGUGGGGAGCAAACAGGG
rnacentral:rRNA from 1 species